GAAUGCUGACAUAAGUAACGAUAAAGCGGGUGAAAAGCCCGCUCGCCGGAAGACCAAGGGUUCCUGUCCAACGUUAAUCGGGGCAGGGUGAGUCGACCCCUAAGGCGAGGCCGAAAGGCGUAGUCGAUGGGAAACAGGUUAAUAUUCCUGUACUUGGUGUUACUGCGAAGGGGGGACGGAGAAGGCUAUGUUGGCCGGGCGACGGUUGUCCCGGUUUAAGCGUGUAGGCUGGUUUUCCAGGCAAAUCCGGAAAAUCAAGGCUGAGGCGUGAUGACGAGGCACUACGGUGCUGAAGCGACAAAUGCCCUGCUUCCAGGAAAAGCCUCUAAGCAUCAGGUAACAUCAAAUCGUACCCCAAACCGACACAGGUGGUCAGGUAGAGAAUACCAAGGCGCUUGAGAGAACUCGGGUGAAGGAACUAGGCAAAAUGGUGCCGUAACUUCGGGAGAAGGCACGCUGAUAUGUAGGUGAAGCGACUUGCUCGUGGAGCUGAAAUCAGUCGAAGAUACCAGCUGGCUGCAACUGUUUAUUAAAAACACAGCACUGUGCAAACACGAAAGUGGACGUAUACGGUGUGACGCCUGCCCGGUGCCGGAAGGUUAAUUGAUGGGGUUAGCGGUAACGCGAAGCUCUUGAUCGAAGCCCCGGUAAACGGCGGCCGUAACUAUAACGGUCCUAAGGUAGCGAAAUUCCUUGUCGGGUAAGUUCCGACCUGCACGAAUGGCGUAAUGAUGGCCAGGCUGUCUCCACCCGAGACUCAGUGAAAUUGAACUCGCUGUGAAGAUGCAGUGUACCCGCGGCAAGACGGAAAGACCCCGUGAACCUUUACUAUAGCUUGACACUGAACAUUGAGCCUUGAUGUGUAGGAUAGGUGGGAGGCUUUGAAGUGUGGACGCCAGUCUGCAUGGAGCCGACCUUGAAAUACCACCCUUUAAUGUUUGAUGUUCUAACGUGGGCCCCUUACCGGGGUUGCGGACAGUGUCUGGUGGGUAGUUUGACUGGGGCGGUCUCCUCCUAAAGAGUAACGGAGGAGCACGAAGGUUGGCUAAUCCUGGUCGGACAUCAGGAGGUUAGUGCAAUGGCAUAAGCCAGCUUGACUGCGAGCGUGACGGCGCGAGCAGGUGCGAAAGCAGGUCAUAGUGAUCCGGUGGUUCUGAAUGGAAGGGCCAUCGCUCAACGGAUAAAAGGUACUCCGGGGAUAACAGGCUGAUACCGCCCAAGAGUUCAUAUCGACGGCGGUGUUUGGCACCUCGAUGUCGGCUCAUCACAUCCUGGGGCUGAAGUAGGUCCCAAGGGUAUGGCUGUUCGCCAUUUAAAGUGGUACGCGAGCUGGGUUUAGAACGUCGUGAGACAGUUCGGUCCCUAUCUGCCGUGGGCGCUGGAGAACUGAGGGGGGCUGCUCCUAGUACGAGAGGACCGGAGUGGACGCAUCACUGGUGUUCGGGUUGUCAUGCCAAUGGCACUGCCCGGUAGCUAAAUGCGGAAGAGAUAAGUGCUGAAAG
rnacentral:rRNA from 1 species